rnacentral:rRNA from 1 species
CCUACGGGAGGCAGCAGUAGGGAAUCUUCCACAAUGGACGAAAGUCUGAUGGAGCAACGCCGCGUGAGCGAUGAAGGCCUUCGGGUCGUAAAGCUCUGUUGUUAGGGAAGAACAAGUACCGGAGUAACUGCCGGUACCUUGACGGUACCUAACCAGAAAGCCACGGCUAACUACGUGCCAGCAGCCGCGGUAAUACGUAGGUGGCAAGCGUUGUCCGGAAUUAUUGGGCGUAAAGCGCGCGCAGGCGGUCCUUUAAGUCUGAUGUGAAAGCCCACGGCUCAACCGUGGAGGGUCAUUGGAAACUGGGGGACUUGAGUGCAGAAGAGGAAAGCGGAAUUCCACGUGUAGCGGUGAAAUGCGUAGAGAUGUGGAGGAACACCAGUGGCGAAGGCGGCUUUCUGGUCUGUAACUGACGCUGAGGCGCGAAAGCGUGGGGAGCAAACAGGAUUAGAUACCCUUGUAGUC